GUGGCCUUUGCAAAUGACAGCUGUGAAUGCUGCUGAGCUGUGCAAGGAGGAUGAGGAAGAGCUAGGGAGCUGUCAUCUUUCCAACAGGUACAUUUCUUCCACUCAUCUCCAUUCCAAAGAUCUGGAUACCAGCUCCAAUCCUGUCACCAGAUAGCCAUCUGUUCUUGGAGCCCAUGCUGUGUGUUCUCCCACCACAGAGUGGAGUUUUGGGGAAGUGACUGCCAGCCAGGAAUUAACCCAAGGCCUCUUUCAUCAAGGUAGAUGCAGAAGAUCCAGCAUAAACUUCAAAGAAGACCCUAGAAGAUGGUGAAGCCUAAGAUAGGAGGCACCUCGGUUUCUGAAUCACUGCUUUGACAAACUCUCAUUUGGGCCUUAUAUUAGGGAACAAUGAAUCUAUUGUGUUAAAGCACCAAGAUUUGAGUGUUAUCUGUUAUACUAGCUAUUGUACUAUAGAUUCCAGUGAAAAGAGAUCCACCAGUACCUCAGACCUGGUCCCAAUCCCCUGCCAUCUUGGAAACCAUUGACUUCCUUCCCUGUGGACACCACAUCACCCAUCCUAAGCAGCUUUCUUUGUGCUCUAUAUAGUUGUAGAGCAGCUGGUCUGCUUGUCAAGCAACCAAUAAAUCUAUGUUUGGCAAAACAGUAGUUUUCAUCAGUAAGUGACCUUAAGAUAACAUUUACAUUGCUGGAGACAUCAUUCCAACCCUGAACCAGUGGCAUCCCAACUCAGGCCCUCCUGGUGGCAGGAGACAGGAAAACUAAUGAAGUGUGGGGAUCAUUAAUGACUUUAUCUUCUCACUCACCCAGCCCCUCCCCCUUUUCAAA